GGGGCAUUAGUAUAACGAACACUACACGAUCUUGUCAAGAUAGAACUGCAGGUUAAAAUCCUGCAUGUCCUU
rnacentral:tRNA from 1 species